AGUAAAAGUCGUAACCAAGGUCUCCGUAGGUGAACCUGCGGAGGGAUCAUUACACAAAUAUGAAGGCGGGCUGGAACCUCUCGGGGUUACAGCCUUGCUGAAUUAUUCACCCUUGUCUUUUGCGUACUUCUUGUUUCCUUGGUGGGUUCGCCCACCACUAGGACAAACAUAAACCUUUUGUAAUUGCAAUCAGCGUCAGUAACAAAUUAAUAAUUACAACUUUCAACAACGGAUCUCUUGGUUCUGGCAUCGAUGAAGAACGCAGCGAAAUGCGAUAAGUAGUGUGAAUUGCAGAAUUCAGUGAAUCAUCGAAUCUUUGAACGCACAUUGCGCCCUUUGGUAUUCCAAAGGGCAUGCCUGUUCGAGCGUCAUUUGUACCCUCAAGCUUUGCUUGGUGUUGGGCGUCUUGUCUCUAGCUUUGCUGGAGACUCGCCUUAAAGUAAUUGGCAGCCGGCCUACUGGUUUCGGAGCGCAGCACAAGUCGCACUCUCUAUCAGCAAAGGUCUAGCAUCCAUUAAGCCUUUUUUCAACNNNNGACCUCGGAUCAGGUAGGGA
rnacentral:rRNA from 1 species